rnacentral:rRNA from 1 species
UACGGAGGGGGCUAGCGUUGUUCGGAAUUACUGGGCGUAAAGCGCACGUAGGCGGCUUUGUAAGUUAGAGGUGAAAAGCCCCGGGGCUCAACUCCGGAAUUGCCUUUAAGACUGCAUCGCUAGAAUUGUGGAGAGGUAAGUGGAAUUCCGAGUGUAGAGGUGAAAUUCGUAGAUAUUCGGAAGAACACCAGUGGCGAAGGCGACUUACUGGACACAUAUUGACGCUGAGGUGCGAAAGCGUGGGGGAGCAAACAGG